rnacentral:sRNA from 1 species
GAAGUGCGCUGGAGAAAUCCUUAGCUGUCAGCCAAGGUGGAGAGCUCUAUGAAGAGUGGCUGGAACUUAGAAACGGUUGCCUCUGCUGUUCAGUGAGGUGAGGAAUGUGUUUACUGUGUACAUGGUUUACUAGAAAUGUUUAUUGAUUAUAUUUCCAGCUUUAAUUUUCUUGAGUAAUUUAACUGAAUUUACACAGUUUGCUUCAUUGUAUUUUCAAACAAAUAGAAAAUAAACUUAUUAGGAAGCAUUUUCUUAAAGUGUUUCUUGCUGUCUUUUCUAUCUGCUCUAAUGUUUUGGUCCUUUUAUUGAGUUUUUAUUGCUUUUGAUGUCAGGGCUUAUUUAAUCUCUAGUGCAUGAAAGUCUCAUAUGUAAAAAAUGAUUAUUCUGAAUUUAAUCUGUCAUUGGUCAUAUUUCUAAGUGUUCAACCUUAUAAAAAAAAUAAAUGACUAUCAAAAAAGAGAAAAACCUUACAUUAUGUUCUACUAGUUAAGUUUUCAAGGACAGUGUUCACUAGUCUACCAUAGACCCUAGAAGAGUUACCCAACACAUAGUAGCACUCAAAUAUUUGUUGAAUGAAUUAUAAAAAUGACUACUUGUACUGUUAAUUUU